CUUGCAGUUGUAAGGUGUUCGA
rnacentral:siRNA from 1 species